AUGAGUUAAGUAUAAACCCCUUAACAAGUAUCAAUUGGAGGGCAAGUCUGGUGCCAGCAGCCGCGGUAAUUCCAGCUCCAAUAGCGUAUAUUAAAGUUGUUGCAGUUAAAAAGCUCGUAGUUGGAUUUCUGUUAAUACUUGCAUGUGCUAUCAUCGAUACGCGUGUAAUAUUAGCAUCAUCCGCAUCACCUUCGGUGUGCGGAACUUUACUUUGAGAAAAUUAGAGUGCUUAAAGCAGGCUUUUGCCUUGAAUACUCCAGCAUGGAAUAAUAUGAAGGAUUUUUAUCUUUCUUAUUGGUUCUAAGAUAAAAAUAAUGGUUAAUAGGGACAGUUGGGGGCAUUUGUAUUUAACAGUCAGAGGUGAAAUUCUUAGAUUUGUUAAAGACAAACUAGUGCGAAAGCAUUUGCCAAGGAUGUUCUCAUUAAUCAAGAACGAAAGUUAGGGGAUCGAAGACGAUCAGAUACCGUCGUAGU
rnacentral:rRNA from 1 species